rnacentral:tRNA from 1 species
GGAGGAGUCGCAUAGUGGUCUAGUGCGCCGCACUCGAAAUGCGGUAAGGGAGCAAUCUCUUCGUGGGUUCAAAUCCCACCUCCUCCG